GCUGCUGCUGCUUUUCCGGAUGGGGGAGAUGGACGGAAGGCUUUCGGAGGCGGAGGGUUUUGAUCUUUUGGAAGGCCGCCGAAUUUUCAGAGGGUCCCGGCGGCGCCCGCUCUCCGACACCGCCCGGUGGGGCCACGAGCACGUAGAUCGACCGCAGAGACAGGAGAGAGAGAUAGGCGAGUGUAAAAAGUGACAGCAAGAGAAUUGGUUGUGUGUAAGUUAUUACUGAUUACUGAAGGACGAGUGAGUGAGUGAGUGAAUUCUAUUUUUUUUUUGCGGAAGGAGUGAAUUCUUUACUUAACUGCGCCAGACACUGUAUGUAGUCGUCAUGUCAUAGUACUCCUACGUACGUACUCCUU
rnacentral:lncRNA from 1 species